AGGAUGACCCAGAUCCAGGUGGUCUUGAAUGGCCCUAGAAAGAAACUAUGGAGAAACUACUGCAGAUGUGGACCUCCAUGUAUCCCAAAAAUGAAAUCUCUGAGGCAAAUGCAGACCAUGGUAAGGAUGAGAAGUGCCAACCAUGAGAUCUCAUGAAGACAAUGUCACCAGCUGGCACCACAGGCCAAGAAGACAAGAAUUCUAGUAGACCCUGUGCCUUAGAAGUAAACUCACUAAAGUAGUAGCAGAGAGCAGACUGUCUACAACUAGAGGAGAAUGCAUCCUUCUAGAAUCCUUCUGAACUCUGGCUGGCUGAUUCAACUCAGCUAUGCUGGCUCAAACUCCUCUCCAGCUGACUGAUUCAAAUCAGAUCCUCUUGGCUUCUGACUGAAUUGCUCUGCUUGGGGGAAAAAUGUCUCUGAACUUCACUCCAUUCUCUCCCCUGCACUGCUCUUAAAUAUCUUCUCUUCUACUGGAAGGCAGCAGCAGCAUAAGCAGCAAAGAGUCUCUCAGAGAAAUUGAAGCUUGUGAAUUCAGCCAGGCCAACUGUGCAAUGAGUUUCAGGAUCCUCCUAACUCCUCCCUCAACCCUCUGCAUUGUGAGGUGAGGAUGUAGAGAGUUCUCCAGGUAAGUUCCCAGCUUUUUAUGUGGUUCCAGAGCUCCAAACUUGAUGCUUGCCAGCCAGAUACCUUACCGCCUGAGCCUUCUUUCCAGCCCUUGUUUUAUUGAGACAAGGUCUCACUGUGUAGCCCAAUCUGUCCUGGAAUUCACUGCAUACCCAGGCUCCCUCUGCCUCAGCCUUCCUAAUUCUGAUAUUAUAGGUAUAUUAUAUCACAAAGCUAAUGAUACUUUAAAAAAUACAUAAAAAUCAAGCUUAAUACUUAAUAAGUAGAAAAAUAUGUGCUCUAAAGACAACAGAAGACUAUGCCCUCCUAUAAUAUGCAACCCAGGAAGUGAGCUAGGUCAACAUGUAUUCAUUGUUUUGGUAAGCAUACAAGCUGUUGUUUAUAUCUGUCUGUUAACGUUGGUCUAGAAAAAGUCUGAAGGAAUACACACACGCUGAAGUAUGAAUUGUGGUUCUAAACGACGCCGAUGUGAGCAGACUUAAAGCAGGGUUAGCCCUGGAGGGGCAUUGCUGUUCUGUGGGCUAAGGCUUGCGCCAGCGACUCACUCAGACUGUGGAUGUAAAAACACCAGCCUGCACAGAUUCAAGGGUCGGAGAUCACCACCCCUUGAAGGAUGUGACAAAGUUCUGGAAAACUAUACUGUCUGGCCAUCCUCAAAAAUUAAAGUCCAUCCCUGGGUGAUCUCAGUCAGUGCAGAUGAUGAACUGAGCCUUCAGGAAACAUGUACAGUAAUUCCUAGUGUAACAGAGAUGGUAAGACGUUUUAAAAGUCUUAAUACAUGUAACCUUUGAUCCAGUGACUCCGUUUCUUGAAUACAACCUUAGUACGAAUCGGGAGUACUUACUGAGAUUUACUACCUGAUGCAUAUUUAUGGUAUCAAAAUAAGAUUAGAAUAUAUCCCCAAAUGGGAAAUUGAUGAAAACUGAUCUGUUCCAAUGGAACAACACAACACUAAAAACUGUUUGACUAUUUUAACCUGAAAUUAUUUUUAUACUACAUUGUUGGGUGGAAGUUUCAAAUGUGGUGGCGUGUGCCUUUAAUCUCAGAGCUCGGGAGGCAGAAG
rnacentral:sRNA from 1 species